GAUGAACGCUGGCGGCGUGCCUAAUACAUGCAAGUCGAGCGAACAGAUAAGGAGCUUGCUCCUUUGACGUUAGCGGCGGACGGGUGAGUAACACGUGGGUAACCUACCUAUAAGACUGGAAUAACUCCGGGAAACCGGGGCUAAUGCCGGAUAACAUUUAGAACCGCAUGGUUCUAAAGUGAAAGAUGGUUUUGCUAUCACUUAUAGAUGGACCCGCGCCGUAUUAGCUAGUUGGUAAGGUAACGGCUUACCAAGGCAACGAUACGUAGCCGACCUGAGAGGGUGAUCGGCCACACUGGAACUGAGACACGGUCAAGACUCCUACGGGAGGCAGCAGUAGGGAAUCUUCCGCAAUGGGCGAAAGCCUGACGGAGCAACGCCGCGUGAGUGAUGAAGGUCUUCGGAUCGUAAAACUCUGCUAUUAGGGAAGAACAAAUGUGUAAGUAACUGUGCACGUCUUGACGGUACCUAAUCAGAAAGCCACGGCUAACUACGUG
rnacentral:rRNA from 1 species